rnacentral:lncRNA from 1 species
GACGUACCUCGGAGGGUCAUUGACAUACCCCCCUUCUGGUUCAUCAUCCUCCGCCACCUUGUUCUGUCCCUGUGCCGCUAGUACUGCAUUUAUCUUAGCCUGCACUGGACAGUUCCUUUUCAAGUGAGGACCACCACAAGUGAAACAGCCAUCAAACUUGCUUCUUCCCUCCUUGCCCUUGUGAAGUUCUCGUCUCACAGUGUCGGCAAGUUCACCACUUCCAGAC